CGCGUAGGCGGCACGGUACGGUUCGGGUGAAAUCCCUCGGCUUAACCGAGGAACUGCCCGGGCUACGGCCGAGCUAGACAGCAUCAGGGGAAGGUGGAACUCGCGGUGGAGCGGUGAAAUGCGUAGAUAUCGCGAGGAACGCCGGUGGCGAAAGCGACCUUCUAGGGUGCUUGUGACGCUGAGGCGCGAAAGCUAGGGGAGCAAACAGGAUUAGAUACCCUGGUAGUCC
rnacentral:rRNA from 1 species